rnacentral:rRNA from 1 species
AUGUUGUUUGGCUUCUACAUGUGUCCCAGGCGAGCGAUUUAUAGGUCAGGAUUUAAGUGUUCAAAUUGCAACAAGUCAUUCACCAGCAAAGAUAUCUUCUUGGAUCUCACUGUCACCUCAGGAAUGAAAGAAUACAGUGAACUCAAGCCUGCUAGAACUGAGCUGGUCAGGAGCCCGCUCGUCUCCUUUCUUUAUGAGAGGGAGUGGCGUCAGAACUUCAAUCGGAGUGGCUUCCCUGGCCGCGAUGAAGAGUUCCAAAUGGCUCAAGAUUAUUUCCAGUCAGUCGUUGAUGGUAUACUCAUUGAUGUCAGCUGCGGCAGUGGCUUGUUUUCAAGGAAGUUUGCAAGCUCCGGGGCAUACUCAGCUGUGAUUGCUUUGGACUUUUCUAAGUUUAUGCCCCGCCAAUGCUAUGACUACAUCAAACAAGAAGAAACCCCUAUGAACACGAACCCCGCUCUCGUAAGGGCCGAUAUUUCGAGGCUCCCUUUUGCUUCAUGUUCAAUUGAUGCCAUUCAUGCUGGAGGUGCUAUCCACUGCUGGCCAUCCCCUUCAAAUGCAAUUUAG